GGCCUUGUAGCUCAGCUGGUUGAAGAUGCGCUGUACAAAAGCGUAGAGGGUGUCCAUGUGUGGGUUCGAAUCCCACCGAAGCUA
rnacentral:tRNA from 1 species